UACGUAGGGCGCGAGCGUUGUCCGGAAUUAUUGGGCGUAAAGAGCUCGUAGGCGGCCUGUUGCGUCUGCUGUGAAAUCCCGGGGCUUAACCCCGGGCGUGCAGUGGAUACGGGCAGGCUGGAGGCAGGCAGGGGAGAAUGGAAUUCCCGGUGUAGCAGUGAAAUGCGUAGAGAUCGGGAGGAACACCAGUGGCGAAGGCGGCCUUCUGGACCAGUACUGACGCUCAUGCACGAAAGCGUGGGGAGCAAACAGG
rnacentral:rRNA from 1 species